AGGCCCAGUGGGACGGGGCGGACCCGCGCGACCUCAUCGGUUUCGCCGCGCGCGCGGAACGCCUCGGGUUCGACUCCCUAUGGGUCAAC
rnacentral:tRNA from 1 species